rnacentral:misc_RNA from 1 species
UUAACUAUUUUAUAUAAUACUCAGACGACACUAAUAAACAGAGUUUGGGGGUCCUCUGGCGAGCACUCACCAGCGUAAGCCGGUGGCCGAAGCGGCUCGCCAAAGCAACAAAGGUAUAAUUAACAUAGGGUUGGAGAGUCACCCUUGCGGGCGAUAUUCUCUGUAAUGAUCCCUCCGCAGGUUCACCUACGGAGA